GGGUCUAUAGCUCAGUUGGUUAGAGCAGGCGACUCAUAAUCGCUUGGUCGUAGGUUCGAGUCCUACUGGACCCA
rnacentral:tRNA from 1 species